rnacentral:rRNA from 1 species
AUUGAACGCUGGCGGCAUGCCUUACACAUGCAAGUCGAACGGUAACAGGUCUUCGGAUGCUGACGAGUGGCGAACGGGUGAGUAAUACAUCGGAACGUGCCUAGUAGUGGGGGAUAACUACUCGAAAGAGUGGCUAAUACCGCAUGAGAUCUACGGAUGAAAGCAGGGGAUCGCAAGACCUUGUGCUACUAGAGCGGCCGAUGGCAGAUUAGGUGGUUGGUGGGAUAAAAGCUUACCAAGCCGACGAUCUGUAGCUGGUCUGAGAGGACGAUCAGCCACACAGGGACUGAGACGAGGCCCAGACUCCUACGGGAGGCAGCAGUGGGGAAUUUUGAACAAUGGGCGCAAGCCUGAUCCAGCAAUGCCGCGUGCAGGAUGAAGGCCUUCGGGUUGUAAACUGCUUUUGUACGGAACGAAAAGCCCUGGGUUAAUACCCUGGGGUCAUGACGGUACCGUAAGAAUAAGCACCGGCUAACUACGUGCCAGCCGCCGCAGUAAUAC